AGCGGACUGUUCAGUCCCUUGGAUAGGGCAUCGUAGAGGGUGAAAGUCCCGUGCUUGAUCUGGAACCCCCGGGGCUUUGUGAUGCGCUCUCAAAGAGUCGAGUUGUUUGGGAAUGCAGCUCAAAAUGGGUGGUAAAUGCCAUCUAAGGCUAAAUAUCGAGGAGAGACCGAUAGCGAACAAGUACCGUGAGGGAAAGAUGAAAAGAACUUUGGAAAGAGAGUUAAACAGUACGUGAAAUUGCCGGAAGGGAAGGGUAGGAAGUCAGACAUGCCUUUGCAGAUUCAGCCUUGUUUUUGGACUUGGUGUAUUUUUGUAAUGGCAGGCCAGCGUCGGUUUGUGUCGCCGGAUAUAGGGUUAGGGAAAGAA
rnacentral:rRNA from 1 species